AUCUAUGGCUAUUAUCACCCUGAACAUGUCUGAUAUAGACUGAUGUCUGAUUUCUAAAGCUAAUCUGAGUGAGGUCUGGUUAGUACUUGGAGACUGCUUGGGAAUACCAGGUGUUGUAGGCU
rnacentral:rRNA from 1 species